UACGAAGGGGGCUAGCGUUGUUCGGAAUCACUGGGCGUAAAGCGCACGUAGGCGGAUUCUUAAGUCAGGGGUGAAAUCCCGGGGCUCAACUCCGGAACUGCCUUUGAUACUGGGGAUCUCGAGUCCGGGAGAGGUGAGUGGAAUUGCGAGUGUAGAGGUGAAAGUCGUAGAUAUUCGCAAGAACACCGGUGGCGAAGGCGGCUCACUGGCCCGGUACUGACGCUGAGGUGCGAAAGCGUGGGGAGCAAACAGG
rnacentral:rRNA from 1 species